GCCCCCGUGGGGCCGGGGCCGGGAUUUGGCCGCUGUUCCACUGCGAAGCGCGGCGCCAGGAAGCGGCCGUCUCUCCGGAGCAGCAGGUGCUGUAAACGUACCUUUGCAAAUAUUAUUGCUCUAAUUAGAAGGAAACUAUUCCACAUACGGUUAAAACGAGGCCGGCAGAAGUGUGCUUCAUUUCCGAACUUGACCCCUUAACCUGCACCUCAAGCUCAUUUUUAUUGCUACCCACUGAGCCCUGCUCUCCACGCACCGGUUGCACCAGCCCUGCCGACCCGUACGUUCGCGGUCUCCGCUGGGAUGGCUGGAAAGGAAGCGAGAAAGUCACGGAAGAACUUACCUGAAACGAUCCCAUUCGACAGGAACCCCAGCUGGUAAAGGAGGCAGCAGCAGCAGAUGAGUUUCCGAGGCCGAGCAGGCUAGUGCUGGAGCCCCACAAGACAGACCCACAGCCAGCCGAGAGCCGGGAGUGCUGCCUCUGGACAGGCAGAGGACUGCCCGGCGCGGGCAGGAGAGCUGUGGUGUCCGAGCCGAGGCUCGCCGCCUGCACCCGCGCGGAACGGGCGGAGGCUGGUGUCACAGUCUCAGCAACUUGGUGUGCCAAGCUCCGCACACUCCUCACGCUCCUUAGGACGCACCGCUGAAGGCUCUCACCCGCAGCGGCGCGGGAGGGAAUGAGUAGGGAGAUGGGAAGACACGACUAGAGAGGUGGGUUGUAGAGCAGAAAAGAAUCAAGCACAUCUGACCAGAAAAAGGGACCAAGGGGUGCCCGCCAAGCGUGACUUUGCGGGACAAAGGUCCCAGAACACCGUGCACGUGCUCAAACGCCGGUUGGGAUGGGGUGGGGACCCAAAAUCCCUCACCUGACUAUUGAUUGGCCACUCGGGAAGGCCUGAUUUGCAUCCAUCCCCUGCCCCCGUGUGCAGGUAGAGGUGCCUCCCCCUUCCCAUCCCACUCCUCAAUCCAGCGCCUCUUUUUGUCAAAUUCGCACAUCACACAAGGCAAAAAUUAGUGCAGACUUGACCACAAAACUGAGGCCUCAUUUAUCAAAGGCCUUUGAUUUGUCUUCCCAUCUUUUUCGGAAUUUUCUAAGCCCAGAGAUAAUGUAAUUCGUCAUGGAAUAUGCUUUAAAGUUUCCCAGGACAGUAGGCACCCUUAGGUUUCAGAGCCUCUUUUCCUUCCUUGUCUUUCUAGCUCCCCAUUCAUCAGUACUAUCAGUUUCUCUCCUUCCCCUACCCCACCCCAUUACACACACACACACACACGAGUCCUAAAAGGAGUAAGAGUAAGGGAAUCAACAUUAAACAUUAUAUUCUAAAGAUCUCAGA